UUUAAUUAAACACCCAACAUUUAU
rnacentral:siRNA from 1 species